CUCAAGGAUGGGCCAGAAUGGGAUAAAAUAACACAUAUCCCAAUUAAACGGAUCCAUUGAUCAGGGGCUCGUUAUCAUUCUUGUGUGCAAGAUGAGUGUUAAAUUGUGAUCCAGAUUCUACCGUAUUGAACUAGACGUAGUAUAAACGGUGUGGUCUUUUGUGUUGGUACCGACGCGUACGAGUACAACUCGUUUAUUUGUCCUCCAAGGACUCUCAUGUAUUGUCCCUCAUAUAUACUCCAUGUAGUCGCAUCUAAAGACGGUCUGUCGUCUCGUGCUUAUAAUACUCCACCCUCAUAGUGAUUACGCUUUCGUGCGUCCAUGGUUUUCUUCCGCAAGGGUUUUCACGUAAAAAUCCGUGUCUUUCGUGUCUCGUUGAUAUCGUUUUAUCUAACAAGUGGUAUCAGAGUUGAGGUUCUACCGUAUACGAGAUCGAGACUAGGGUUCGGCAUCCUGCCGCAACCGACGCGACCUGGCCAUCCGAAGCCAGAUCAAGAAGUCGAGGCUGAGUUCGACAGGGAUUUAAUCCUGCUACGCCGCCCUACAAAUCCUGUCUGAUCCGCCUCUGUUCCUCUAAUCCGUCGAGACCGCCGCUGUCACCCAUCGCCAAGUUGCUGCUGCCAAGAAGCGAGGCUGUCGCUGCUGGUGCUACUUCCCAGGGACAAAAUCCAUCAACAGAAAGCUACUAGUACUACUUCACGUGACCUGCUAGUACUAGUUGAGGACUAUAUCAAUUUGUUUUCUCAUUAAUUGCUACAUCCACAAUCGAAGCUAUCAGGUGCUAUUGUUUCUAGUUUCUUUGCUCCGCAUAUUAAUUCUGUCAAGAAUUUUUUCUACCGGCUUGCACUACUUUGUGUACACAUAUUUAUCUACUCAUGGCAUCCAUGAAGUAUGAUCUUCCGUUGCUGGACCGUGACACAAGGUUUACCCUAUGGCAAGUCAAGAUACGGGCGUUGUUGGCACAUGCCGACUAUGAUGAUGCACUGGAUAGUUUUGGAAAGAAUAGAAUUGAGGAUUGGACUGCUGAGGAGAAAAGAAGGGAUCGUAAGGCUUUGUCACAAAUUCAACUCCAUUUGCAUAAUAAUAUUUUACAGGAAGUUUUGACCGAGAAAACUGCCGCCGCUCUAUGGUUAAAGCUGGAAGGGAUUUGCAUCACUAAGGAUCUGACCAGCAAGAUGCAUUUGAAGCAAAAAUUAUUCAUGCACAGGUUACCCGAGGGAGGUAACGUUUUGAAUCAUAUUUCAGAAUUUAAAGAGAUCAUAUCCGAUCUAGCUGCAAUGGAGGUUACGUAUGAUGAAGAAGAUACUGCUUUAAUGUUACUUUGUUCGCUGCCAAGUUCUUAUACCAAUUUUCGAGACACCAUAUUAUAGAGUCGUGAUACUCUCACGCUUAAUGAAGUUUAUGAAGCUUUAAACUCUAAGGAGAAGAUGAAAUUAAUGAUGUCUCAUGAUGGUUCAAGUUCAUCCCAAGCCGAGGGAUUAUCUGUUCGUGGCAGGACAAAGGAGAAGAACUCACAUAAUGAAAACCAUGGCAAAAGUAAGAACGGCCAGAGGGGCCGGUCGCAAUCCAGAGACAAGAAGCAAUCUUGCAGGUAUUGCAAGAGAGACGGGCAUGACAUCUCAGAAUGUUUCAAGUUGCACAACAAGGAAAAGAGGAAUGGUACGUAUAAACCGAAAGGUAACAAACAAGGUGAAAGUUCUGCUAAUGUUGCUCGUGAUGAAAGUUUCGAUGAUGCUCUUGUUGUUAUUGCUGGAUGUGCUGAGACCAAUGAUGAGUGGGUACUUGACACUGCGUGUACUUUUCAUAUGUGCCCGCAUAGAGAUUGGUUUACCACUUUUGAUUCUACUACUGCUGCUGGUUCCGUUUUGGGUUUUGAUAAUUCACCAUGCAAGAUUGAAGGCAUAGGUUCCAUUCGAAUCAAGAUGUUUGAUGAUACAAUCAGAACUUUGACAGAUGUUCGGUAUAUUCCGAAGAUGAAGAGAAAUCUUAUCUCUGUGAGUGCCCUUGAUGCAAAGGGAUACAAGUAUUCAGGUGGAGAUAGUGUUUUGAAGGUCACCAAAGGUUCUCUCAUUGUGAUGAAAGGUGACUUAAGUUCGACCAAUGGUCUUUAUUACCUUCGAGGUUCUACCGUUUCAGGUAAUGCUACUCCGGUUAUUUCAAAGAAUUCUGAUUGUGAUGCUUCUAACCUUUGGCAUAUGCGUCUUGGACAUAUGAGUGAACUUGGUUUGGCAGAGUUAAAUAAGAGAGGUCUUCUUAAAGGAUACCAAACUGGUAAAUUGAAAUUUUGUAAGCAUUGUAUCUUCGGCAAGCACAAGAGGGUGAAGUUCAACACUUCGACUCAUACAACUGAAGGUAUUCUUGAUUAUGUGCAUUCUGAUUUAUGGGGACCAUCUCGCAAAAGGUCAUUAGGUGGUGCUCGUUACAUGUUGACUAUUAUUGAUGAUUAUUCGAGAAAGGUUUGGCCUUAUUUCUUGAAGCAUAAAUGGCAAGCUUUCUCAGCUUUCAAGGAAUGGAAGAUUAUGAUUGAGAGACAAACUGAAAAGAAGGUAAAAAUACUUCGCACUGAUAAUGGUAUGGAAUUCUGUUCUAAGCAAUUUGGGAAUCAUUGCAAGUCUGAAGGCAUUGUCAGACACCACACCGUUCCUUAUACUCCUCAACAAAACGGUGUUGCUGAGCGUAUGAACAGGACCAUUAUUUCCAAAGCCCGUUGCAUGUUGUCCAAUGCAGGUUUGCAUAGGCGUUUUUGGACUGAGACCGCUUUCACUGCUUGUUAUCUCAUCAACUGUUCACCAUCUAUUCCUCUUAAUAAGAAAACUCCAACUGAGUAUGGUCUGGUUCACCUGCUGAUUAUUCACAGUUGAGAGUUUUUGGUUGCACUGCUUAUGCUCAUGUUGAUAAUGGAAAGUUGGAGCCUAGGGCUGUUAAGUGCAUCUUUCUUGGUUAUAAAUCUGGUGUUAAAGGUUUUAAAUUGUGGAAUCCUGAAACACAAAAGAUUGUUAUUAGCAGAAACGUUAUCUUUAAUGAAUCUGCUAUGUUACAUGAUGUUCCAUCUACUAAUGUUCCUCUUGAGAGUGAACAACAGUCUACUGUUCAGCAGCCUACUGUUCAGGUGGAGCAUGUUAUCGAUUCAGGUGAUACUUCUAAUAAGGAAAAUGUUGAUGCACAUGAUGAACCCGUCUUUAAUGAUGAACAUGUCACUCCAAAUCAGCCUAUUGUUCCACCCGGUUGAAAUCUCGCACGUGACAGAGUUAGGCGGGGUAUUAAUGCACCUGAAAGGUUAAUUGAGGAGUGCAAUAUUGUUUCUUUUGCUUUAUUUUUUGCAGAAUAAAUUGAAGGUAAUGCUGAGCCUUCUUCAUAUUUCGAGGCUAUUAUUUCUGGUGAUAGUAAUAAGUGGAUGACUGCUAUGCAUGAUGAUAUGGAAUCACUUGAAAAGAAUGACACUUGGGAUUUAGUAAGAUUACCUAGAGAUAAGAAACCUAUUCGUUGCAAGUGGGUUUUCAAAAUAAAGGAAGAUGUUUCUCCUAAUGAUGAGGCAAGAUAUAAAGCAAGGUUGGUUGCUAAAGGUUAUAGCCAAAUUCCAGGUAUUGACUAUAACGAAGUCUUUUCUCCUGUUGUGAAGCAUAGCUCUAUUCGCACUUUACUUAGUAUUGUUGCCAUGAAUGAUUUUGAGCUUGAACAAUUGGAUGUUAAAACUGCAUUCUUACAUGGAGAAUUAGAAGAGGAUAUUUAUAUGGAACAACCUGAAGGUUUUGUUAUUCCUGGAAAAGAAAAGCUUGUUUGUAAGUUAAAGAAAUCUCUUUAUGGAUUGAAGCAAUCCCCUCGACAGUCGUACAAGAGAUUUGACACCUUUAUGCUCUCUCAAGGUUUCAAUCUAUGACACCCCGAUGUCGACGUUCCCGAAGAUUCCCCUCCUAUUCCGUUUUCGUCGUGUGGUUCGUUUGUCUGUCGCAUUCAUCAUCGCAUCAUGCGCAUCAUCUGCAUUGCAUCGGCAUCUCCGUUGCCGCCAGUUUUCAAACUUGCAUCCGUUAUUAGUUGCCGCUUCUCUUCGCGUUCGUCGUUGUUCGUUCUGAGCCUGACCGCACACGCACGCGCCCGCGGCACCGUCGGAACCCUGUUUUAAAAGUGUGCGUUAAACUUUCUCUGAUCGAGUUGAGAUUUGACGUGCGGUAUUAUUUUCAUAUAGCUAGGCCGCCUGUCGAAUUUCGUCGCGAUCGGAGUCCGUCUGAUACCCGAACGGUCGACCGUAGCGGCACCGUAUUCGGUCUACCGUCGGACGUUUGUCGGUGUUUUAAAAUUCGUGCCGCGCCGCCCGUUCUCCCUCUCGUCUCCGGAUAUCCACUCUACACAGCCAGUCGUCCGUCACGCGUUCGGAAUUAGUCGAUUCCGUCUGCGCCGUUGAAUCCGGGGCGGAAAACCGCUAAACCUAGCCCCUCAUUUGUUAUAAAUAGGCCUCCCCCUAAUUUUUAGGAAACCCUAAACCCCCCAUCGUUUUCCGUGCCCGCAGCUCUCUGCCACCUCCUCUCUCCACCCACCAGCCGCCGGGCCCGCGAGCCCGCGCGCGGCCCGCCCGAGCCCAUCCGAGCCGCCGCCGCCCCGGUCUGGCUCCCGAGCCCUAGCCGGGCAGCCUCGCCCCCGAGCUCCUGCCGUCCCCGUGCUGCCCGAGCCCCUCCCGACGCGCCGCCGCACCUCCCCGCCGGCCACUGGCUACCGGCCGACGCCGGGAGCCCCUCGCCAGGAAGCCCCGCCGGCCAGCAGUCGCCGCUGCCGGAUCUCGCAGCCCCAGCCUCGCCGCCGAUGCCUCGCCGCCGCAUGCGCCAUGCCCACCGUCGGCUGCCGCCCUUGCCCAGAUCCGGUGGCCGAGGACCGGAUCCGGCCAUCCCUCGCGUCGGCAGCCACCGGAGCCCGACGGAACCGCCGUUGCGGGUGCCCAGCGCCGCUGGGGGGCUCGUCCCGCAGAGCUUCAGGAGGGAGACGACGGGUACGGGCGAAGCAGCUCGCCAGCCUCGCUGGGCGAGCGCCCCCGAGUCGGCCCACCAGAGCCAGGCCGACCUCCUCCCGCACCGGCCCAGCUCGGUCGCCAGCAGCCGGCCCAGCAGCGCCAGAGCCGCCUCCGCCAGCCUCCCCUCAUGGGCCCGAGGCCCACCGAGGUGAGCUUAUCCCCCGCCCAACGAUUUAUCUGCUUUAUAGCGCCCCUGUUCGGCCCAAUAGAUAGUUAGGUUUUUUUUCCUUUUCUCGGAAUUAGUUAUAUUCCAGAGAAUAGACGUAUAAUAAAAUGCCCGUAGAUUUUUAUCCGUAAGUCGGAUCGAGGCAAGUUAUAUAUGUUUUUCGCGUAGUUUUACGCGUAGAUUACGUUUGUGCACCUUGCAUAUUUGUUCGAUUUAGUUUAGCGUGCCAAAUGCUUUGUUUACCGUGCUGUCUAUAUAGGAUAGACGCCGUAUUUAUUUUUCGCGCUAGAACGUAUUGCCCGAAUGCCGUUUUAGAAAUGCCUAUGUUUUAAGGACCAUUAUUCCAGGUAUUUUAGAGCGGUCAUAGGUAUUUUUGCAUGUAUGGUUUGCCGGUAAUUUAUUUUUCCCGCGUAUAGGUUAUUUUCUCGCUUUUUAGUGUGGCUUUAUUUUGUGUUGCAACCCCACAUAUUUUAUAUGUUUCCGGGGUAGAAAAAUCCCAUGGAUUUUUCUGUGCAAUUAGUUUUAGCUUUAGAGCAAGUUGGUUCGCGCGAUAUUUCGCCGUGAUGCCCUUUUGCUUAUUUCGUAGGAUUUAUUCCGUGCCUCGUUUGAAUUAGUUGUCAACUAGGGAGUUCUUCUUAGAUGUUUUGUUUAGUCCCUGGUAUUUUUGGUUGCAAUAGAAAUGCAUGUUUAGGUGUUGUUUGCUUGCUCUCAAGUUGCUAGAAAUAGUGCUGAUUUGGAGGAGCUGAAAUAUUUCUAAGUCUGAAAUCUGUUAUAUUUUGUUGCUGUCUUGUCUUGCUUGCAUCUUGUGAUCUGUAGCUCUUUUAAGGUUGGUCUAAUGGAGUUAGUUGUACCCCUUGUGUUUCUCUAGCUUUCUGUAAAUUUUCAUGCCAUUUGGAGUCCUGUAGUUAGGAUUUUGCUGCUGUCAAUAUUGCUUCAGAUCGAAAACUGCACUUUCAUGAGGUGUAAUUUUCACUAAGUCUGAAAUAGUGUGUGAGAUGCCAUUUUGUGUCUUCUUUUUCUAGUGCUCCUUGCUUCCAUGCUAGUUGUUGUUAGUUGCUUGUAAUAGUGCUUCUUGCCCUCUUCCGUGCCAUGCCUUGAUUGUGCAUUUCGGAGUUAUGUAGCUCGUAGUUGUGGGGCGUAGAAUAUGCUAUGUGGCUGAUUUUGGCAGAUUGUAGCCAUUUCUUGUUUUGCUCGUAGGUGUUGAACCGUAGCUCCGAUUUGAUCGUGUCCUACAUGAAACUUGCUUAAAAUAUUGUGUAGUUUCAUUUUCUCUUGCUGGUUGUAUGUUUUGACGUGCUCGUGACCGUCGUUGCACACAUAUUGCAUUCAUGUCAUCAUAUCUUGCGGUGCUUGUAUCUUUUGAACCGUAGCUUCGUUGGAGAUGUUCUUUAUGUAUAGAUUGCUUGAAAUGACGCGUAGAAUCACGUGAACCUAUUUGUUUUGUUGUUUAACAACCAAUUAAAUGCAUUAGUUCAGAUCUGGACAGAAUUUGUAAAUUAACAUGUGAGGUCGUCUCGGAGGUGCUAUAUGUCAUUUCCGACCUCAUUUAAAAUGCCUAGAUAGGUAGAUUAAUUGCGCUUCACCUCUUGCCAUGUUUAAUCAUAUUUAAUAUUGCGUGUAUUUAAUCGGGAUAGAACUAAAUAAAUUAAUGUGGAGUUUCGUCAAUAUGCAACUCGUUGCAUAUUGAACUUCACUUAAUGUGUAGUGUUUGAUUGUGUGAAUUGUCAUGCCGUGACUUGCAUAUAUUCAGCUGCUCAUGCAUCAUAUGUGUUGUGCAUCGUGUGGGGAAUUUAGAGUGUUGAUUUGUGUUUCCGGUUUGCUUCGUCUCGUUAGAGUUCCGCAAGCGUGUCGGAUUGUGAGGACCCGUUCGACUACAUCGGUUCGUCUGCUUCACGGAGGCAUUCUUCUUCCAAGCGGGAUCUCAGGCAAGAUGAUCAUUUCUCCAGAUACCAUUACUAUCAUUGCCAUGCUAGUUUAUCGCUUCUAUCGUUUAUGUCUCGUUGCCUACCACCUGUUAAAUAUCAGCCUCUCAACAAUGCCAUGAUUACCUUCAACCUGUUCGACCUAGAAAACCACUGAUUGGCUAUGUUACUGCUUGCUUAAUCCUGUUGAUAGCGUUGCUAGUUGCAGGUGCAGUUGCUUCCAUGUGAUAACAUGGAUUCCUUGUCAUAUCACCAUAUUAAUGUUAUUUAAUUUAAUGCACCUAUAUACUUGGUAAAAGGUGGAAGGCUCGGCCUUUCUAGCCUGGUGUUUUGUUCCACCUUUGCCCCCUUAGUUUCGGCUACCGGUGUUAGGUUCCAUAAACGAGCGCUCCUAACACGAUCGGGGUUGUUAUGGGGACCCCCUUGAUAAUUCGUUUUAGAUUAAAGCUGGUCUGGCAAGGCCCAACAUUGGUACUACAUUUGCCUAAUCACCUAAUAAAUUGCAUACGGACUUCCCAGGCCCCGAGGAUAAUUUAAUCAACCCCCGGGCCAGUGCUCCUCAUGAGUGUUGGUCCAAAACAGAGCAGCUUAUUAACGCUACCCGGGGCAACUCGGCGUUUGGCGUGGUAACCAUCGCUCAUCCGUCGUGUCCUGAGAACGAGGUACGCGACUCCUAUCGGGAUCAUCGACACGUCGGGCGGCCUUGCUGGAUUAAUUUUACCUUUGAUGAGAUAUCUUGUGCAUCGGGAUUCCGGUGAUGCUUUGGGUAAUCUCAGAGUUGAGGUUUUCCACUAGGGAAUCCGACAAGAUCGCGAGCUUCGUGAUUGAGGAUUUCUAUGCGGCUUGUGGUAAUUUGUGAUGGACUAGUUGGAGCACCUCUGCAGGGUUAAAUCUUUUCGGAAAGCCGUGCCCGCGGUUAUGUGGCAACGUGGAAGCUUUGUUUAACACUAGUUCUAGAUAACUUGAAGUUAACUUAAUUAAAAUAUGCCAACUGUGUGCGUAACCGUGACUCUCUCUUUCGUGAGUUCCUUCUCCGAUCGAGGACACAGUGGGGUUAUGCCUGACGUAGGUAGGUGUUCAGGAUCAUUCAUUUGAUCAUCUGUAGUUCACGUCCGCUAUGCGUAGAUUUUCCCCCUCUUAUUUCUGGUACUCGUAAGUUAGCCACCAGAUAUAUGCUUAGUCGCUGCUGCAACCUCACCACUUAACCAUGCCUCACCCAUUAAGCUUUGCUAGUCUUGAUACCUUUGGAAAUGAGAUUGCUGAGUCCCCUGUGGCUCACAGUUUACUACAACAGCAGUUGCAGGUACAGGUAAAGGUUACUUGACGCGAGCGCGUUGAUUGUACAUUUGGAGUUGCUUCUUCUUAUUCUUCUUCUUCAUCGAUCUAGGAUGGGUUCCAGGCCGGUAGCCUGGGAUAGCAAGGAUGGACGUCGUUCUUCUUUUGUCGUUUGUUUUCGUCUGUAGUCGGACCCUGCUCUUACUCUUGAUGAUUAUGUAAUAUACUGAUGUGACUCUGAUGUAGCUUGUGGCGAGUGUAAGCCAACUCUUUAUAUAUCUCUUCUUUUCAGUACAUGUACUUGUAACGAUAUCCAUUCUUGCGACACGACGAGAUGCGUUUCUAUCCCUGACGAGGUCCUCGUGCCAAAUUGAGGAUAGGGUCGCAUCUUGGGCGUGACACAAUCGGUCUAAUUAUGAUAGCUGUGUUUACUUGAAAACUGUCAAUGGUUCAGCUAUUUAUUUGCUCCUUUAUGUUGAUGAUAUGUUAAUUGCUGCAAAGAGCAUGUCAGAGAUUGAUGAACUAAAGAAGCAAUUGAGUAAUGAAUUUGAGAUGAAGGAUUUGGGUGCAGCAAAGAAAAUACUUGGCAUGGAAAUAUCCAGAGAUAGACCAUCUGGAAAAUUAUAUCUCAGUCAGAAGGGAUAUAUUGAUAAAGUUCUUCGCCAUUUUAAUAUGCAUAAUGCCAAGCCAGUAAGUACUCCGUUAGCUGCACACUUCAAAUUAUCAUCAGCCUUAUGUCCUGAGUCAGAUGCAGAUAUUGAGUACAUGUUUAGAGUUCUCUAUUUGAGUGCAAUUGGUUCACUUAUGUAUGCCAUGGUUUGUUCUCGUCCGGAUUUAUCUUUUGCACUGAGUGUUGUUAGUAGAUACAUGGCUAAUCCUGGAAAAGAGCAUUGGAAUGCAGUUCAGUGGAUUUUCAGAUACCUGCGAGGUACUUCUAAUGCUUAUUUACAGUUUGGGAAAACUGGAGAUGGACUUGUUGGUUUUGUUGAUUCUGAUUUUGCUGGUGAUUUGGAUAAGAGAAGAUCGCUCACAAGUUAUGUUUUCACCAUUGGUGGUUGUGCUGUGAGUUGGAGAGCAACUUUGCAGUCUAUUGUGGCUUGUUCCACUACUGAUGCCGAGUAUAUGGCUAUUUCUGAGGCAUGCAAAGAAGCUAUCUGGUUGAGAGGUUUGUACACUGAGCUUUGUGGAGAUUCAUCUUGCCCUACCAUAUUUUCUGACAGUCAAAGUGCUAUAUAUCUUACAAAGAAUUCAAUGUAUCAUGAGAGAACAAAACACAUUGAUGUCAGAUUUCACUAUGUUCGAGAUGUUGUUGCUAAAGGAGAUUUGAAGGUAUGCAAGAUAAGUACUCAUGAUAAUCCAGCUGAUACGAUGACAAAGACAGUUCCUACCAAUAAGUUUGAGCUUUGCUCAGGCUUAGUUGGUAUUUCUCACUAGUCCUAUGAACUUUGACGCACAAGGUGUUUAUGCUAAUUUGGGUGGAGUUAUUUACUUUCUUUGACUACUGGAGGGAAUUUGGCUCAAGGUGGAGAUUGUUAAAUUGUGAUCCAAAUUCUACCGUAUUGGACUAGAUGUAGUACAAACGGUGUGGGCUUUUGCGUUGGUACCAACGCGUACGAGUACAACUCGUUUACUCGUCCUCCAAGGACUCUCAUGUACUGCCCCUCAUAUAUACUCCAUGUAGUCGCACCUAAAGACGGUCUGUCGUCUCGUGCUUGUAAUACUCCACCCUCAUAGUGAUUACGCCUUCGUGCGUCCGUGGUUUUCUUCCGCAAGGAUUUUCACGUAAAAAUCCGUGUCUUCGUGUCUCGUUGAUAUCGUUUUAUCUAACAAUGAGAGGUACCGGACGGAUCAUGCCUGCCAACAGCCUCCUCUGGGAUGGAUGUAGUGCAUGCAUAUGAGUGUAACGCAUCCGUUCUGUAUGUAGUGUGCCCUUUGGCUGAAGCAGUACAUUCUCAUUACACUUUCUGUUUGUAGCCGGGUGCAUUUCACCUGCAUGCGGAUGUGAGAAUAACUACUUGCUGUGAUUGAUUGAGCUGUUAACAAAUGUAAUCACUAGCUAAAUCGGAUCGGCGUUCUUUCUUUUCGUUGCUUCAAAUUGUCUCCCCUUUACGUUGAUUGGUAAAUAACAAAAGGUUGGUCAGAUUUCAGUCCACAACGCAUACAUCACACGUAAUUUAUCAUCUUUCCCCCUGGUCUGAAACAUGUAUCAGCACACAACAUCUACGUCAGAACCUUUGGCUCAAAUGGUACAUGCAAAAGAGAGGAUAACCCUCCAAUGACUGCUGCCCUGUAUCACUGAACCUGAGGACUGCACCCACCUCUUCGUCCACUGUCGUUUUACUAGGGCUGUUUGGAGGAGUUUCAGUACCUGGUCGGGUGCGGCUUUUAUAACCCCUGAUGAGAGGUUUACCAGCACUGAAGACUGGUGGCUGACGGCU
rnacentral:lncRNA from 1 species